AUGCACGCUGGCGGCGUGCCUAAUCCAUGCAAGUCGAGCGAACAGACGAGGAGCUUGCUCCUCUGACGUUAGCGGCGGACGGGUGAGUAACACGUGGAUAACCUACCUAUAAGACUGGGAUAACUUCGGGAAACCGGAGCUAAUACCGGAUAAUAUAUUGAACCGCAUGGUUCAAUAGUGAAAGACGGUUUUGCUGUCACUUAUAGAUGGAUCCGCGCCGCAUUAGCUAGUUGGUAAGGUAACGGCUUACCAAGGCAACGAUGCGUAGCCGACCUGAGAGGGUGAUCGGCCACACUGGAACUGAGACACGGUCCAGACUCCUACGGGAGGCAGCAGUAGGGAAUCUUCCGCAAUGGGCGAAAGCUUGACGGAGCAACGCCGCGUGAGUGAUGAAGGUCUUCGGAUCGUAAAACUCUGUUAUUAGGGAAGAACAAAUGUGUAAGUAACUAUGCACGUCUUGACGGUACCUAAUCAGAAAGCCACGGCUAACUACGUG
rnacentral:rRNA from 1 species